rnacentral:tRNA from 1 species
UAUAGGCUAUGACUAAGACAUCCGGGCCUAAGUCCCGUUACAGGGUAGUUCAUAUAU